rnacentral:rRNA from 1 species
UAAAGCGUGCGCAGGCGGUUAUGUAAGACAGAUGUGAAAUCCCCGGGCUCAACCUGGGAACUGCAUUUGUGACUGCAUGGCUAGAGUACGGUAGAGGGGGAUGGAAUUCCGCGUGUAGCAGUGAAAUGCGUAGAUAUGCGGAGGAACACCGAUGGCGAAGGCAAUCCCCUGGACCUGUACUGACGCUCAUGCACGAAAGCGUGGGGAGCAAACAGGAUUAGAUACCCGGU